rnacentral:rRNA from 1 species
ACACAUGCNAGUCGAGCGGGGUGAUGUAGCUUGCUACAUUACCUAGCGGCGGACGGGUGAGUAAUGCUUAGGAAUCUGCCUAUUAGUGGGGGACAACAUUCCGAAAGGAAUGCUAAUACCGCAUACGCCCUACGGGGGAAAGCAGGGGAUCUUCGGACCUUGCGCUAAUAGAUGAGCCUAAGUCAGAUUAGCUAGUUGGUGGGGUAAAGGCCUACCAAGGCGACGAUCUGUAGCGGGUCUGAGAGGAUGAUCCGCCACACUGGGACUGAGACACGGCCCAGACUCCUACGGGAGGCAGCAGUGGGGAAUAUUGGACAAUGGGCGAAAGCCUGAUCCAGCCAUGCCGCGUGUGUGAAGAAGGCCUUUUGGUUGUAAAGCACUUUAAGCGAGGAGGAGGCUACUUAGAUUAAUACUCUAGGAUAGUGGACGUUACUCGCAGAAUAAGCACCGGCUAACUCUGUGCCAGCAGCCGCGGUAAUACAGAGGGUGCGAGCGUUAAUCGGAUUUACUGGGCGUAAAGCGUGCGUAGGCGGCUUCUUAAGUCGGAUGUGAAAUCCCUGAGCUUAACUUAGGAAUUGCAUUCGAUACUGGGAAGCUAGAGUAUGGGAGAGGAUGGUAGAAUUCCAGGUGUAGCGGUUGAAUGCGUAGAGAUCUGGAGGAAUACCGAUGGCGAAGGCAGCCAUCUGGUCUAAUACUGACGCUGAAGUACGAAAGCAUGGGGAGCAAACAGAUUAGAUACCCUGGUAGUCCAUGCCGUAACGAUGCUACUAGCCGUUGGGGCCUUUGAGCUUUGUGGCCCAGCUACGCGAUAAGUAGACCGUCUGGGGAGUACUGUCGCAAGACUAAACUCAAUGAAUUGACUGGGG